UACGAGUGCCUCAAGCGUUAUCCGGAAUUAUUGGGCGUAAAGGGUAUGUAGGUGGUUUUGUUAGUCUUCUGUUAAAUCUCUCGGCUCAACCGAGAAUGUGCAGGGGAAACGGCAAGACUAUAGAGUAUGCGAGGGGUCUGUGGAACUCAUGGUGUAGCAGUGAAAUGCGUUGAUAUCAUGGGGAACACCAAAAGCGAAGGCAGCAGACUGGAGCAUUACUGACACUGAAAUACGAAAGCGUGGGU
rnacentral:rRNA from 1 species